rnacentral:rRNA from 1 species
GGACCCGCACAAGCGGUGGAGCAUGUGGUUUAAUUCGAUGCAACGCGAAAAACCUUACCUACUCUUGACAUACUUGGGAGCUCUUGUAAUGAGAGUGUGCCUUAUGGAACCAAGAUACAGGUGCUGCAUGGCUGUCGUCAGCUCGUGUCGUGAGAUGUUCCGUUAAGUCGGAUAACGAGCGCAACCCUUACCCUUAUUUGCCAGCGAUUCGGUCGGGAACUAUAAGGGGACUGCCGGUGAUAAACCGGAGGAAGGUGAGGACGACGUCAAGUCAUCAUGGCCCUUACGAGUAGGGCUACACACGUGCUACAAUGGGAAAUACAGACGGACGCUAAGCCGCGAGGUGGUGCUAAUCCUAGAAAGUUUCUCGUAGUCCGGAUUGGAGUCUGCAACUCGACUCCGUGAAGUCGGAAUUGCUAGUAAUCG